rnacentral:tRNA from 1 species
GGUUCCAUAGUGUAGUUGGUUAUCACAUCGGAUUCUGAUUCCGGUAACCCGAGUUCGAAUCUCGGUGGAACCU